UGCCUGAAGAUGAGCUCGCGUCUGAUUAGCUAGUAGGUGUGGUAAGAGCGCACCUAGGCGACGAUCAGUAGCUGGUCUGAGAGGAUGAUCAGCCACACUGGGACUGAGACACGGCCCAGACUCCUACGGGAGGCAGCAGUGGGGAAUUUUCCGCA
rnacentral:rRNA from 1 species